rnacentral:rRNA from 1 species
UACGAAGGGGGCUAGCGUUGCUCGGAAUCACUGGGCGUAAAGCGCACGUAGGCGGCUUUCUAAGUCAGGGGUGAAAUCCUGGAGCUCAACUCCAGAACUGCCUUUGAUACUGGAGAGCUUGAGUCCGGAAGAGGUGAGUGGAACUCCGAGUGUAGAGGUGAAAUUCGUAGAUAUUCGGAAGAACACCAGUGGCGAAGGCGGCUCACUGGUCCGGUACCGACGCUGAGGUGCGAAAGCGUGGGGAGCAAACAGG